rnacentral:misc_RNA from 1 species
AAAUAAACCAGACAGCAGCGGUUCCGGUUUUUCACCGGAAAUAGCGAAUGGCGGGGCUGGCG